UAAAAUAGUGGAAAACACCAAAGGAUUGCAGGUAUUUUCGUGGAGUGGUUGUUGAUAUUAUCGUUCUGGCUAUUAUGUGGGCAUGCAAAUUGGAGGUAGAUUAGUAUGGAAUUAUCGAGGAGAAUAAAAUGAGCACUUAGGGACUGUGAAUGGAAACAAUUAAGCUGAACAUAGGUUGAAGAGUGAGGAAAAAUAUCCUAAAAAAGGUAAACCAGAAUGUGAAAGAUGGAACUAUAAAUGGUAAGGUUAAUAACCAAGGAUAUGUAGCAAAUGGUU
rnacentral:lncRNA from 1 species